rnacentral:rRNA from 1 species
AUACGGAGGGUGCAAGCGUUGUUCGGAAUUAUUGGGCGUAAAGCGCGUGUAGGCGGUUUGUUAAGUCUGAUGUGAAAGCCCCGGGCUCAACCUGGGAAGUGCAUUGGAAACUGGCAAACUUGAGUACGGGAGAGGAAAGUGGAAUUUCGAGUGUAGGGGUGAAAUCCGUAGAUAUUCGAAGGAACACCGAUGGCGAAGGCGGCUCACUGGCGCAGUACUGACCCUCAUGGACGAAAGCGUGGGUAGCAAACAGGAUUAGAUACCCUGGUAGUCCACGCUGUAAACGUUGUGCACUAGAUGUGGGAGGUUCUGAUCCCUUCCGUGUCCAAGCUAACGCGUUAAGUGCACCGCCUGGGGACUACGGCCGCAAGGCUAAA